CUUGGUUGGAUUGAAAAUUGAGUGAAUUAAUAAUUUUCUCUAUGUCAAAUUUCUUCUCUACCUCUAUAUUUGCUACUUCUCCUUUUCCUAUUUCAUCCCUCUUCUUUGUCUUCAUCCUUUCUGUUUUUGUCUAUUUUGUUUCACUUUAUUCUUCUUAAUCUCCAUUGGUGCUACAUCUCCAUAGUCCAUCCUAAACUAUAUGACCUCAUUUAAAAGUUACUGCCCUUUUAAGUAUUAAGUUGCCCAUUUUAAUUUUCUAUACACUGGAAUUUUUAUCAUUUUGACGAAAAGUACUUCUCAGAUCUAGUAUGGUUAUCUGCAUAUGCCAAUUAUUUUUUAUGCUUUGUGCAAGCAUUUGCUUGGCCUGGGCCUUGCUUUGAGUAUACUUGUUGUUUUCAUCUUAUAAGCCCUGGCAGUUUCUGCUUCACAGGUAUUGAAAUUAAUGAUGAGGAG
rnacentral:misc_RNA from 1 species